GAUCCCAUCAGAACUCCGAAGUUAAGCGUGCUUGGGCGAAAGUAGUACUAGGAUGGGUGACCCCCUGGGAAGUCCUCGUGUUGCACCC
rnacentral:rRNA from 1 species